AACAAACAUUUGGAGAAGUAAAGAAAAAAAAAAAAAAAAGAAGUGAGAGAAACAGAGAGAGAGAACCGAAAGAGAGGAAGAAGUGGACUCAAUUCUUUUUCUUCUUCAGGAAAUGUGUUUGCUAAAUACGAUUUAGAGAGGGACAGAAGAACUGAGAGAGAGAGAGAGAGAGAGAGAGAGUACUCAAACCACUGUGUUGUAAAAAGCUUUGGAGAAGUGGGUUCAAGAGAUCUAAGGAAGAAAAGAGAGGGAACUCAAGGAAUCAAAAAAAAAAAUUCAGCCAUUGAAGACUUAAGAUGGCAGAUGACGCUCCCCACGAUGGAGGUUCUCCAGGGAUGGAAGGAGAGCUUGAGUACAUACCGUUUCCGCCCAGAGUGCGACCUUUUGACCCUGAGAGGUACCGCCCGAGGCACAUGCAUUACCAUCCAGUACAGUCCGUCAUUUCAGCAGAUUUGCAUGACACGCACCAGCAGAUCUCCUGCUACGAGAGCUAGAUUCUCACCUGUCCCACGGUGCCUCUGAGGUAGACUCCCAUUUUACCUGCGGAUAUGAGUCCACCGCAGCGGACAUGGACCUCCCCGACGGCGUUCGACAGAUCAUUGAUGAGGCGGGGUUCGGUUUGUUUUGCAUGGGGCUGUCGUACCUCAUGGUGAAUAGGACCCUCUUAGGCGCACUGGUAGAGAGAUGGUGGGAUACCACCAACACCUUCCAUUUCUCUACCACUGGGGAUAUGACGAUGACCCCAUAUGAUUUCGCCAUGUUGACGGGCCUUGAGGUGGGAGGCCGACCGAUCCCAUACGACUUCAAUAUGGAUAAGUGAGAGGCCACUUGGACCUAUUUGCUGGGAGCACACCCGCCUAUCUUCCAAUUAGGGAUGGUCCGAUAUACUUGGUUCCCAGACCACUUCAGAGGGACAGACCCAUCGAUUGUAAAGAGGACUGAGUAGUAUGCCCGAAGUUUCCUGAUGUUCCUCUUCGGCACUAUCUUGUUCGUUGACAGGGCGAACACAGUCGGAGAAAAUCUUUUGAGCACCUUAGUGGACUUAUCCCAGGUUUGGCAUUAUGAUUGGGAUGGUGCUGGCCUCACUACUCUGUACUGCUACAUGAGCUCGACCUCCCGGGGGAGCGAGAACAGAGUACGCGGCUAUUGGAGAGCUUGGGAGCUAUGGGUGUACGCCUAUUUCCCGGAGCUUGCUCCAGAGCCAGAGGUUGAGACGCCUCUUGAGGUGCCAUACUCGUAUCGAUACGACGGUCGGUGCUAGCCGAGGACACAUGAGACCCUCUUAUUCCUUCACCAGUACUUCGACACGGUGAUGACGGUAGAGGUAAUUCAAAAUUCACAGUUCUUCCUGCUUUCAGCUCCAAUUCAUUUUACAUAUCUAAUGGCAACUCAACAAUCUAUGCACUUGCUGUCUGCAAAUCAUAUGGCUGCCCUGGGCGAUGAUGCCAGAGGGUGUUAGGUUUCAGUUUGCCAGAGCUUGGGGCGCUUCUCGGUAUCGACUCUUGCUUGAGGGGCCAAUAGGCCGAGCCUGGUUUCUAGGCGAGUGCUUCAUGCGCCAAACGCUGGGUCUGCCGUUACAGUCGGUUCCCUUACCACCUUCGCCUUCUAUGUGAGUCGCAGAGAGUCUCUCCCCUUAGGAGAUCAUUGACUUCAUGCGGGGUGGAGAUGUAGACCUUUUCAUUGGGGAGGGGGACUAUACGACUUAUCUCCAGAUGUACCUCAUGCCUCCUCUGACAGGUGUUCAUGCUCACACAGGGAGGGCAGUUGAUAUCCCUUCGUCGAGCAGGGCCCGAGUAACAGAUGCCCCUUCGACGAGCAGGGCCCGGGCACCGAGGAGUAGGGCUAGAGGGAUACCCCAUGCUAGGUAGAGUUUUGGAUGGCCAGACCUUCCGACCGAGCUGACAGGUUGACAGUACUCUGGAGAGGCUUAUCAAAUCCCGAUUGAGCCUCCGUUGCCUAGUCACAGAUAUGUCAGGACACCCGAUUCACAACCGCCCUCCACCGGAUACGUCGAGGGGUUACUCGAGGUGUUGUCCUCAUUCGAGGGCAUUAUCUUGAAGAGAAAGACGAUGCUUGGCUCUCACAGCAUUUAGGUCACACAUCUACAAACAGGACCAUUAGAGCCUUCUCUAGUAGCAGGGAGAGAGAUUUCGGCACGCGGCUGAGGGAGACGUCGGGAGCCUGUCAUGCAUGAUGAUGAGACCAGUGAGGACGAGGAUCUAGCGAGUCCCUAGUCAGAGUCAUCUGAGGGUGGAGACGACGGCACCGGCUCGGGUUUUGAGAGUGGUGACGAUGUUGAGGAGGAAUCCCAGGAUAGGAGCGGAGGCAGCUCUGGUUCAGGUUCUGGCUCAGAUUCGGACAGUGGCGCCGAGGGUGAUAGCUCUGAGUCCAUGCCCAAGAAGAGGACGAAAAGGGCCUCUCGAUCCUGAGAUGGGUGGCACCGAUUUAGACGUUUUUUUGCCUUGUUUCUCUUUUUGCUAGUAGUGUUAGCACAUUGUACAACCUUAGGUAGUUUCAUUUUCUUUAAAACUUGUACUCUUUGUAGAAAGAAACCAU